UCAAGUUAUUAAGGGUGCAGGGCGGAUGCCUUGGCACUAGGAGCCGAUGAAGGACGUGAUAAGCUGCGAUAAGCUUCGGGGAGUUGCACGUAAACUUUGAUCCGAAGAUUUCCGAAUGAGGAAACUCACUUAGAGUAAUGUCUAAGUAUCAUUAAGUGAAUACAUAGCUUAAUGAGGGGAACUCAGGGAACUGAAACAUCUAAGUACCUGAAGGAAGAGAAAGAAAUUCGAUUCCGUAAGUAGCGGCGAGCGAACGCGGAUUAGCCCAAACCAAUAAAGUUUUCUUUAUUGGGGUUGCGGACAUAUCAUAACGAAGAGGUAUCGUAAUUGAAGAGGUUUGGAAAGACCCACCACAGAAGGUAAUAGUCCUGUAUGUUAAACGAGAAGACUUCAGAUAUGAUCCAGAGUACCACGGGACACGUGAAACCCUGUGGGAAGCAGGAGGGACCACCCUCCAAGGCUAAAUACUACCUAGUGACCGAUAGCGUAUAGUACCGUGAGGGAAAGGUGAAAAGAACCCCGGGAGGGGAGUGAAAUAGAACCUGAAACCCUGCACUUACAAGCUGUGGAAGCACAUUUCUUGUGUGACCGCGUACUUUUUGUAGAACGGGCCAACGAGUUACGUUAAGUAGCAAGGUUAAGCACUUAAGGUGCGGAGCCGUAGCGAAAGCGAGUUUUAACUGAGCGUUCAGUUACUUGACGUAGACCCGAAACCGGGCGACCUACCCAUGAGCAGGAUGAAGCGAAAGUAAAAUUUCGUGGAGGUCCGAACCCACGAGCGUUGAAAAGCUCGGGGAUGACUUGUGGGUAGCGGUGAAAUUCCAAUCGAGCCCGGAGAUAGCUGGUUCUCCCCGAAAUAGCUUUAGGGCUAGCCUCAAGGUGAGAGAUACGGAGGUAGAGCACUGAAUGUCCUAGGGGGUAUUGCACCUACCGAAGACUAUCAAACUCCGAAUGCCGUCAUCUUAUACUUGGGAGUCAGACUGUGGGUGAUAAGAUUCAUAGUCGAAAGGGCAACAGCCCAGAUCGUCAGCUAAGGUCCCUAAAUGUAAGUUAAGUGGUAAAGGAUGUGGGAUUGCACAGACAACCAGGAUGUUGGCUUAGAAGCAGCCACUCAUUCAAAGAGUGCGUAAUAGCUCACUGGUCGAGUGAUCCUGCGCCGAAGAUUUCCGGGGCUAAAACUUACUACCGAAGCUACGGCAUCAGUAAUGAUGGGUAGGGGAGCUUCCCAUACGGGUUGAAGCAUGACCGUAAGGACAUGUGGACAGUAUGGGAGUGAGAAUGUUGGCAUGAGUAGCGAGAUGUGGGUGAGAAUCCCACAGGCCGUAAACCCAAGGUUUCCAGGGGAAGGUUCGUCCGCCCUGGGUUAGUCGGGACCUAAGCUGAGGCCGAAAGGCGUAGGUGAUGGACAACAGGUUGAUAUUCCUGUACUACCGAUAACCGUUUGAGAGAAGGGAUGACACAGUAGGAUAAGCUAAGCACACUGUUGGUUAUGUGUGCCCAAGCAUUGAGGCAGUCAAAGUAGGCAAAUCCGCUUUGAUAAUGCUGGGAUGUGAUGGGGAGCGAAAUUUAGUAGCGAAGUAGCUGAUUUCACACUGUCAAGAAAAGUCUCUAUCGAGGUUAAAGGUACCCGUACCGCAAACCGACACAGGUGGGUGAGGAGAGUAUCCUAAGGCCAGCGAGAGAACUGUUGUUAAGGAACUCGGCAAAAUGACCCCGUAACUUAGGGAUAAGGGGUGCCACCAUCAGGUGGCCGCAGAGAAUAGGCCCAAGCGACUGUUUACCAAAAACAUAGGUUUCUGCUAAGUCGCAAGACGAUGUAUAGGAGCUGACGCCUGCCCGGUGCUGGAAGGUUAAGGGGAUCUGUUAGAGCAAUCGAAGCAGUGAACUUAAGCCCCAGUAAACGGCGGCCGUAACUAUAACGGUCCUAAGGUAGCGAAAUUCCUUGUCGGGUAAGUUCCGACCCGCACGAAAGGCGUAACGAUUUGGGCACUGUCUCAACAACAGACUCGGUGAAAUUGUAAUUCCGGUGAAGAUGCCGGAUACCUGCGACAGGACGGAAAGACCCCAUGGAGCUUUACUGUAGCUUGACAUUGGGUCUUGGUACUACAUGUACAGGAUAGGUGGGAGGCUUUGAAACCAGGACGCCAGUUUUGGCGGAGCCAUCCUUGGGAUACCACCCUUGUAGUACUGGGACUCUAACCAUAGGCCAUGAAUCUGGUCUUGGGACACUGUCAGGUGGGCAGUUUGACUGGGGCGGUCGCCUCCCAAAAGGUAACGGAGGCGCUCAAAGGUUCUCUCAGUACGGUCGGAAAUCGUACGUAGAGUGUAAAGGCAAAAGAGAGCUUGAUUGCAAGACAUACAGGUCGAGCAAGGAUGAAAAUCGGACUUAGUGAUCCGGUGGUUCUGCGUGGAAGGGCCAUCGCUCAACGGAUAAAAGCUACCCUGGGGAUAACAGGCUUAUCUCCCCCAAGAGUCCACAUCGACGGGGAGGUUUGGCACCUCGAUGUCGGCUCAUCACAUCCUGGGGCUGUAGUAGGUCCCAAGGGUUGGGCUGUUCGCCCAUUAAAGUGGUACGCGAGCUGGGUUCAGAACGUCGUGAGACAGUUCGGUCCCUAUCCGUCGCAGGCGUAGGAAAUUUGAGAAGACCUGUCCUUAGUACGAGAGGACCGGGAUGGACGUACCUCUGGUGUACCAGUUGUUCUGCCAAGGGCAUGGCUGGGUAGCUAUGUACGGAAUGGAUAAGCGCUGAAAGCAU
rnacentral:rRNA from 1 species